CCUACGGGAGGCAGCAGUGAGGAAUAUUGGUCAAUGGGCGCGAGCCUGAACCAGCCAAGUAGCGUGAAGGAUGACUGCCCUACGGGUUGUAAACUUCUUUUAUAAAGGAAUAAAGUGAGGCACGUGUGCCUUUUUGUAUGUACUUUAUGAAUAAGGAUCGGCUAACUCCGUGCCAGCAGCCGCGGUAAUACGGAGGAUCCGAGCGUUAUCCGGAUUUAUUGGGUUUAAAGGGAGCGUCGAUGGGUUGUUAAGUCAGUUGUGAAAGUUUGCGGCUCAACCGUAAAAUUGCAAUUGAUACUGGCAGUCUUGAGUACAGUUGAGGUAGGCGGAAUUCGUGGUGUAGCGGUGAAAUGCUUAGAGAUCACGAGGAACUCCGAUUGCGAAGGCAGCUUACUAGACUGCCACUGACGUUGAUGCGCGAAAGUGUGGGUAGCAAACAGGAUUAGAUACCCCAGUAGUC
rnacentral:rRNA from 1 species